rnacentral:rRNA from 1 species
UACGAAGGGGGCUAGCGUUGCUCGGAAUGACUGGGCGUAAAGGGCGCGUAGGCGGCGGUCACAGUCAGGCGUGAAAUUCCUGGGCUCAACCUGGGGGCUGCGUUUGAUACGUGAUGGCUUGAGUGGGGAAGAGGGUCGUGGAAUUCCCAGUGUAGAGGUGAAAUUCGUAGAUAUUGGGAAGAACACCGGUGGCGAAGGCGGCGACCUGGUCCUUGACUGACGCUGAGGCGCGAAAGCGUGGGGAGCAAACAGG